AACGCUAGCUACAGGCUUAACACAUGCAAGUCGAGGGGCAGCAUGAACUUAGCUUGCUAAGUUUGAUGGCGACCGGCGCACGGGUGAGUAACACGUAUCCAACCUGCCGAUGACUCGGGGAUAGCCUUUCGAAAGAAAGAUUAAUACCCGAUGGCAUAGUUCUUCCGCAUGGUAGAACUAUUAAAGAAUUUCGGUCAUCGAUGGGGAUGCGUUCCAUUAGGUUGUUGGCGGGGUAACGGCCCACCAAGCCUUCGAUGGAUAGGGGUUCUGAGAGGAAGGUCCCCCACAUUGGAACUGAGACACGGUCCAAACUCCUACGGGAGGCAGCAGUGAGGAAUAUUGGUCAAUGGACGAGAGUCUGAACCAGCCAAGUAGCGUGAAGGAUGACUGCCCUAUGGGUUGUAAACUUCUUUUAUAAGGGAAUAAAGUGAGGGACGUGUCCCUUUUUGUAUGUACCUUAUGAAUAAGGAUCGGCUAACUCCGUGCCAGCAGCCGCGGUAAUACGGAGGAUCCAAGCGUUAUCCGGAUUUAUUGGGUUUAAAGGGAGCGUAGGUUGACAUAUAAGUCAGCUGUGAAAGUUUACGGCUCAACCGUGAAAUUGCAGUUGAUACUGUAUGUCUUGAGUGUACAAGAGGUGGGCGGAAUUCGUGGUGUAGCGGUGAAAUGCUUAGAUAUCACGAAGAACUCCGAUUG
rnacentral:rRNA from 1 species